UACAGAGGGUGCGAGCGUUAAUCGGAAUUACUGGGCGUAAAGGGUGCGUAGGCGGUUAUGUAAGUUAGAUGUGAAAUCCCCGGGCUUAACCUGGGAAUUGCAUUUAAUACUGUGUGACUAGAGUAGAGUAGAGGGAAGUGGAAUUUCCGGUGUAGCGGUGAAAUGCGUAGAUAUCGGAAAGAACAUCAGUGGCGAAGGCGGCUUCCUGGACUCAUACUGACGCUGAGGCACGAAAGCAUGGGGAGCAAACAGG
rnacentral:rRNA from 1 species